rnacentral:rRNA from 1 species
CCUACGGGAGGCAGCAGUGGGGGAUAUUGCACAAUGGGGGAAACCCUGAUGCAGCGACGCCGCGGGGGCGAAGAAGGAGUUCGGGAGGGAAAGCCCGAUCAGCAGGGAAGAAGAAAUGACGGGACCUGAGUAAGAAGCACCGGCUAAAGACGUGCCAGCAGCCGCGGUAAUACGUAGGGUGCAAGCGUUAUCCGGAUUUACUGGGUGAAAAGGGAGCGCAGGCGGCACGGCAAGCCUGAUGUGAAAGCCCGCGGCCCAACCGCGGGACUGCCUUGGGAACUACCGGGCUGGAGUGCCGGAGCGGUAGGCGGAAUUCCUAGUGUAGCGGUGACAUGCUUAGAUAUUAGGCGGAACACCAGUGGCGAAGGCGGCCUACUGGACGGUGACUGACGCUGAGGCUCGAAAGCGUGGGGAGCAAACAGGAUUAGAUCCCCUUGUAGUC